rnacentral:lncRNA from 1 species
CAGGAUUUAUUUUUUUAGUCACUCAAAGGGCUUUGAAGGGUCCUGCACCGAUCCAGUGUUAUCUCAUGGUGUCUGUAUCUCUAUCUUAUCUUUUUACAACCCCUUAUCAUUACGGUCAUACCAAAUGCACUGAUAAAGCUGAAUUUAUAUGCACCAGGGUGAGGCAGAGGUGCAACCUCCACUCCUUCAUCUGGGAAGCAAAGCAGGACAGGUGAGACCCUUCAGGUUAUCUCAGAGGACACGAGACGCCCAGUUCAGGGCAUCUGAGUUCAGUCUUGGACAUCCCAAAGGCCAGUCUGGGAGAUUUCAUUGCCCUGAUCCCACUUGGAGAAGCCUUCCUGGAAUCACAGAUUGUCCCAAGUUGUAAGGGACCCAUCAGGAUCACCAAGUCCAGCUCCUGGCCCUGCACAGACCAUCCCCAAGAGCCACAUCCUGUGCCCAAGGGUGUUGUCCAAACUCUGCUUGAUGGUCUUUCAGGUCAAGAACAUUUCAACCCAAGGAAAAUGCUGGGAAUAGCUGCCAGCCCCAGGCUCCCUCUGCUUUCUUCCCAAGUUCCUUCCUCCCAGCUCUGACUUCCCCAUGGCGCUCACCACAGGCAGGGGAUGGGGACUGAAUUUGCUUCCCUGUGCAGUGAAGGGCUGUUCCCACCCCACAGGAGGAGUCACAUCAGUGCCACCCAGAACGAGGGAUUCAACAGAAACAACCCCUGUCCCCUUGGAGCCCAACCUGACAACCACAGCAAUGGCCCGAAUGUCCUUUUUGCCACCAGGUGGAGCUGGGAGAGAAUUCCUUGGAAGGGGCCAGCUGACAGCACCCCAGGAUGAAGGAACCUCCUGCUCUCUCGUGUGACGGGAUCCAAGGACGGGCCCACCAAGAGCAGAUAAAACCUCGGGAAAUCUCCGAAUCCAAGUGUGAGUCACCAGAAGAGUUGAUUUGAAAGGACAGCUGUACUAACAUUGACUAAGAUGCCUAUUAAAAAUAUUGGCAACCAUGGAGGGAUCACUCAGUAUUUGAUCAUCCAUUUUGGAAAUUAGUAAAACAAUCCACAGAGAUUCUGAAUAAUAUUUUCAUGUCAAGAUAAGGAGUUUUAAUUUGUGGGCGUUUUUUAGCAUUUUACGAUUUCCUCCCAAUUUUACUCAGGAAAUCAUAGAAACACAAAAUACUCCUACUUUGGUGGAACUGAUAUUUGAAACAAAAACAGAAGCCUAGGCUACGUUUGGUGAACCUAAUUAUGAUUUUCCCCCAUGAUCCAUUAUUCUCUUUAUUAGCCUGUGACAAACUGCCUGAGGUUUCUGGGAAAUGAGCAAUUAAUUCCAUGUCCUUGGGGGCUCAGUUUGUGUGUGGUUUAAUGCCUGGGUAAUGCACAAGGCUUUGGGGGCACUUGGAGCCUUUCUGGGAAAAUCCUCA